AGAAUCAACGCUGGCGGCGUGCCUAACACAUGCAAGUCGAACGAGAAAGUGGAGCAAUCCAUGAGUAAAGUGGCGACCGGGUGAGUAACACGUGACUACCUACCCUUGAGUGGGGGAUAACCUCGGGAAACCGAGGCUAAUACCGCAUAACAUCGAAAGAUCAAAGGAGUAAUCCGCUUUUGGAGGGGUCGCGGCUGAUUAGCUAGUUGGUAGGGUAAUGGCCUACCAAGGCGAAGAUCGGUAUCC
rnacentral:rRNA from 1 species